rnacentral:rRNA from 1 species
ACUUGCAGUUCGAACGCACAGCGAAAGGGUGCUUGCACCUUUCAAGUGAGUGGCGAACGGGUGAGUAACACGUGGACAACCUGCCUCAAGGCUGGGGAUAACAUUUGGAAACAGAUGCUAAUACCGAAUAAAACUUAGUGUCGCAUGACACAAAGUUAAAAGGCGCUUCGGCGUCACCUAGAGAUGGAUCCGCGGUGCAUUAGUUAGUUGGUGGGGUAAAGGCCUACCAAGACAAUGAUGCAUAGCCGAGUUGAGAGACUGAUCGGCCACAUUGGGACUGAGACACGGCCCAAACUCCUACGGGAGGCUGCAGUAGGGAAUCUUCCACAAUGGGCGAAAGCCUGAUGGAGCAACGCCGCGUGUGUGAUGAAGGCUUUCGGGUCGUAAAGCACUGUUGUAUGGGAAGAACAGCUAGAAUAGGAAAUGAUUUUAGUUUGACGGUACCAUACCAGAAAGGGACGGCUAAAUACGUGCCAGCAGCCGCGGUAAUACGUAUGUCCCGAGCGUUAUCCGGAUUUAUUGGGCGUAAAGCGAGCGCAGACGGUUUAUUAAGUCUGAUGUGAAAGCCCGGAGCUCAACUCCGGAAUGGCAUUGGAAACUGGUUAACUUGAGUGCAGUAGAGGUAAGUGGAACUCCAUGUGUAGCGGUGGAAUGCGUAGAUAUAUGGAAGAACACCAGUGGCGAAAGCGGCUUACUGGACUGCAACUGACGUUGAGGCUCGAAAGUGUGGGUAGCAAACAGAUUAGAUACCCUGGUAGUCCACACCGUAAACGAUGAACACUAGUGUUUAAGGAGGUUUCCGCCUCUUAGUGCCGAAGCUAACGCAUUAAGUGUUCCGCCUGGGGAGUACGACCGCAACGUUGAACUCACAGGAAUUGACUGCGGACCCGCACAAGCGGUGGAGCAUGUGGUUUAGUUCUAGCAUCGCGCAGAACAUACCA